AUUGAACGCUGGCGGCAGGCCUAACACAUGCCAGUCGAGUGGAUCGGGGGUCGGGUGAGUAAUGCGUAGGUAUCUGCCGGGUAGUGGGGGAUAACGUCAGGAACCGGGCGCUCAUACCGAUUCCUAUCAGAUGAGCCUAGGUCGGAUUAGCAAGUUGGUGGGGGAAAGGCAUACCAGGGCGACGAUCCGUAACUGGUCUGAGAGGAUGAUCAGUCACACGAGAACUGAGACACGGUCCAGACUCCUACGGUAGGCAGCAGUGGGGAAUAUUGGACAAUGGGCGAAAGCCUGAUGCAGCUAUGCCGCGUGUGUGAAGAAGGUCGUCGGAUUGUAAAGCACUUUAAGAUGGGAGGCGUGACCAACAGAAUAAGCACCGGCUAACUUCGUGCCAGCAGCCGCGGUAAUUC
rnacentral:rRNA from 1 species